GAAUCUUCCACAAUGGACGAAAGUCUGAUGGAGCAAUGCCGCGUUAGCGAAGAAGGUUUUCGGAUCUUAAAGCCCUGUUGUCAGGGAAGAACACGUACGGGAUUAACUGCCCGUACCUUUACGGUCCCUUAUUAUAAAUCCACGGCUAACUCUGUGCCAGCAGCCGCGGUAAUACGUAGGUGGCAAGCGUUGUCCGGAAUUAUUGGGCGGAAAGCGCGCGCAGGCGGUCCUUUAAGUCUGAUGUGAAAGCCCACGGCUCAACCGUGGAGGGCCAUUGGAAACUGGGGGACUUGAGUACAGAAGAGGAAAGCGGAAUUCCACGUGUAGCGGUGAAAUGCGUAGAGAUGUGGAGGAACACCAGUGGCGAAGGCGGCUUUCUGGUCUGUAACUGACGCUGAGGCGCGAAAGCGUGGGGAGCAAACA
rnacentral:rRNA from 1 species